CACAGCUGCAGAUCUUUUGUUUCUCUGCCAGUUCAUCAAAGUCUCUCAGUCAUUUGUAUCCAUGAACUGUUCUGGAUUUACACGGAUUUUGACCUGCUGCCUGUUUAUCACCUACUUACCCUGUGAUACUGUGAAUUUAAGCGUUACGGCAGUUUGUGCAACAUAGAACUACAACAAACGAUGUGUCUGGUCCCCCUCUGCUCUGCUCUCAUCUCCAGAAGCCCUAGACGUGCCGGACCAAACAUAACUGUUUAUCUCAGGCUGCAUCCACACCGAUUUGUCCGCAGAUUGAGGAAUGUUGCAUCUCCGCUUUGACGUCUGAAAACCUCCUGUUUACCGCUCCGACACAAGAGCUUUGCAUCAGACUGUUUGAUGUCGGCGGCAUCAGAGAUCAUCACUGAUCAGCAGGAGUCAGCAGCACUGGAGGAAGGUUUCAGAUUAAUUACUUCAGUAAAGGUACUAAUACCACACUGAGGAAAUACUCCAUUACAAUUAAACGUCCUGCAUUGAAAAAGUUCCCUCAGUAAAAGUGUGUCCGUUUAAUCAGGAGAGUGUAAAGUGAAUUUUCUGUCAGUCUGUAAAUAUUGGGCUAAUGUUUAAGAAACUGUUGGAAUGUGAUAUAUAACAAAACUCUUCAUAUGUUUUGUGUGCAAAAUAUUUAAUUUAUAAAGUCAGAUACAUGUAGUGAAGCAGAAAGUGUCACAAACAGAGACUCGAUUAAAGUACA